rnacentral:rRNA from 1 species
UACGUAGGGUGCAAGCGUUGUCCGGAAUUAUUGGGCGUAAAGAGCUCGUAGGCGGUCUGUCGCGUCGGAUGUGAAAAUCCAGGGCUCAACCCUGGACCUGCAUUCGAUACGGGCAGACUAGAGUUCGGUAGGGGAGACUGGAAUUCCUGGUGUAGCGGUGAAAUGCGCAGAUAUCAGGAGGAACACCGGUGGCGAAGGCGGGUCUCUGGGCCGAAACUGACGCUGAGGGACGAAAGCUAGGGGAGCGAAUGGG